CUCUUGGUGAAAGCAUAGCCCAGUUGCAGCUGAAGACACCAGCAUUCUGGAGAGGCCAGUAUCAAGGAAUGACCAACAAGAAGUCAGCCUAAAACUAGAAGACAAGUUGUGUUUGCUGCAGAGGGUGGAGCUGGAGAAGUGACCCAAACCCUUUGGAGGAGUCCAGAAGAUUGAGCACAUAGUUUCGAGACUUUGGAUUUUAAAAGAAACUGAACUAUUUUAAAGAGACUGGACUUUUAAUGUGUUUGGAUUUGUAAAGACUUUUAAAAGUUAUUUAUAUAUUUAAUGCGAGAUCUUAGUGAUCAAUAUGGAGGCCAAAGCGUGUUGUGGGUGGUGCCACCCCGGGGGCAGUGGUCCUGGGUUCAUAAGAAAGCAGACUGAGUGAGCCUGUAGCAGCAUCUCCCUCCAUGACCUCUGCAUCAGCUCCUGCCUCCUGGUUCCUGCCCUGCUUGAGUUCCCGCCCUCACUGCUUUUGACGAUGAACUGUUAUAUGGAACUCACCAAUUACUUCAAGAGGAUGAUGGACUAUUAUUUGAAGAAUCUCCCUAUGGAGCUUGUUUUCAAUGUGGCAAGGCUAGCCAUUUUGUCAAGAAACCGCUCUUGCCUGGACUGUUUGAGGAUAUGCUGUAUAAACUGGACAUGCAGGACCCACAGACAAAUGAGUGCUAAACUUGCCCAAACAAGGUGGGACAGUCCUUCAGUUUCCUGCUUCAUAGAAGAAACUGCCAGACAUUCUUCAGGACUCAGAGAAAAGAUGGCAAUCAGAUGGGACAGUCUUUCAAAUUUCCUGCUUCAUUAAAAAGUCUGCUAUGGGCCUUUAGGCUGAAGAUGGAUGCCCCAACAUUACUGGAGAACUUUGGGUGACUGUCCAGGCAGACAGAUAGAUAUCUCUGUCAUUUCUAGAGUUUUAGAAGUUGCUUGCAGUGCACUUCCUGUAUUACUUUACUCAGGUAAUAUCAUAUCCUUCUAGGGUCUUUGAUGGAGUUGAAGACUAGAUAGUUAUAACUAUAGUUUUCCUUGGUUAUGAUAAAAGAUAAAGUAGAUAUAAAACUUUAGACUAACAAAGAUAGGCUAGAUGAUAGAGAAUUUUCUUUAAUUUUGCCACAUACAAACUAAUUAAUUCUUGUUUGAUACCUGUUUUGGUAUAUGUAAUUUUACAAUGUUAAAGUUAAAACCUUCUUUUUUGCUUAGACAGAAAAGAGGAGGUAGUGUGGGAUGUCCUCUGUACACUGCAAAUAUGUGUUGCUUUUAUUGAUUGAUGAAUAAAACUGCUUUGGCCUAUGGCAGGGCAGAAUAUAGCUAGACGGGAAAUCCAAGCAGAGGUAUAGGGAGAAGGGAGGCAGAAUCUGGGAGAUGCGGCAGCUUCAGGGGAAGCAAGAUGUGAGGUAACAAGCCAUGGGCCUCGUGGUCAAAUAUAGAAUAAUAGAAAUGGAUUAAUUUAAGUUGUGAGAGCUAGUUAGUAAUAAGCCUGAGCUAAUAGGCCAAAACAGUUUGUAAUUAAUAUUAAGCUUCACAAUGAUUAUAAGUGGCUGGGUGGGAAACUAGUCCAGAGGGACCAGGCAGAACCAGAAUAGCUUUGGCUACACAUAACCACUGUCUCAGAGGAAUCUAUGCCCUCUUCUGGUCACUGAAGAAACCUGGAAUGUAUAUGGGGUCACAUCCUAAAGAAACAUGGAUGAAAGUUAGCAUACCAAAGUGCAUGCUGGCCUUUAGAUACUCUGUGAGCAUCCUUUAGCGUCCCGUGGUGGCAUUCUAACUUCUCUUAGCUGUUCUCAAGGCUCUUUACCUUAAACUUCUC
ensembl:lncRNA